GACAGAGGUGCCGAGCGUUAGGCGGAAUCACUGGGCUUAAAGCGUGUGUAGGCGGAUCGUUAAGUACCUUGUGAAAUCCCACGGCUUAACCGUGGAACUGCUGGGUAUACUGGCGAUCUUGAGGUGCUCAGGGGCGAGCGGAACAGAUGGUGGAGCGGUGAAAUGCGUAGAUAUCAUCCGGAACGCCUGUGGUGAAGACGACUCGCUGGGAAUGUGCUGACGCUGAGACACGAAAGCCAGGGGAGCAAACGGG
rnacentral:rRNA from 1 species